GUACACGUUUGGUGGAGGAACCAGACUGGAUGUUGGAAGUGAUGUCCRUCCCACCCUGACGGUGCUAACCCCCUCCAGCGAGGAGCUGCAGCAGGGGACGGCCUCGCUCAUGUGCCUGGCCAACAAGGGCUUCCCCUCCGACUGGAGACUGUCCUGGAAGGUGGACGGCAGCAGCGGUGGCAGCUGGGAGGAGAGCAGGAGCCCCGGGGUGCUGGAGAAGGACGGCCACUACAGCUGGAGCAGCACCCUGAGGCUCCCUGCAGAGCAGUGGAGGAAGGUGGGCUCUGUGACCUGCGAGGCCUCCCAGGGCUCCCAGACUCCGCUGUCAGAGACACUGAGGAGAGACCAGUGUUCCCAGUCCUGACCUGGCACUCUGCUGCUGGUUCUGCUCUGCUCCUGGUCUCAGKCUCUUCACGGCUCGGAGUCUGAUCCAAAUCAAUCUUCAUGUAGUGAUGAUUUCUUGCUUGAAAUCCUUUCAGAGAAUAAAGAUGUUUGUGUUUGAAUC